rnacentral:rRNA from 1 species
CGGCAACGGAUAUCUCGGCUCUCGCAUCGAUGAAGAAGGUAGCGAAAUGCGAUACUUGGUGUGAAUUGCAGAAUCCCGUGAACCAUCGAGUCUUUGAACGCAAGUUGCGCCCGAAGCCUUCGGGCCGAGGGCACGCCUGCCUGGGCGUCACACGCCGUUGCCCCC